rnacentral:lncRNA from 1 species
CGCGGUGCAUGGGGCUAGAACUCAGGGCCCAGCAGGUCUGACAAUGCAGGUUUCCCCGCUCGCCUGUUGGGUUUUUGAAACGCCCUCAGCGGGGUUUUCCUCCUAAUUCUGGUUUGGAGGAGCCAUCUCUCUCCAUCCCGUCUGCCAGCGGGGUUUGCUUCACACACAGACGUGGGCAGAUGGCAUCGGGGACACAGGGAAACCUGACCUUAGAGGAAAUGGAAAAGUUGGAGAGACACUGAGCACUGAUACGAAAUAAUUCUCUUGCUGAAAUACACGAAAGGAGUCCCAGCAGCCAUAUUAGUAUUUCCACGUCCUGUGUCAGCCCCAAGUAGAGAGAACUUGGAAUGGGAGGGGAAAUGGCAGCCAUCAGGAAAUGAAAUGCUGGCCCAGAGAAUUCUAAGCAAGUCAAUCACCAGUCCAAAGGAAAGGCCAUGUGAGGACAUAAGGAGGAGACAGCCAUCUAUAAGCCAAGAAGAAAGCCCUCGCCAGAAACCAACUCUA